rnacentral:rRNA from 1 species
GACAGAGGGUGCAAACGUUGUUCGGAAUUACUGGGCGUAAAGCGCACGUAGGCGGCUUGGUAUGUCGGGCGUGAAAUCCCCGGGCUCAACCUGGGAAUGGCAUUUGGGACUGCAAGGCUUGAGUGUGGCAGAGGAGACUGGAAUUCCUGGUGUAGCAGUGAAAUGCGUAGAUAUCAGGAGGAACACCGAUGGCGAAGGCAGGUCUCUGGGCUAACACUGACGCUCAUGCACGAAAGCGUGGGGAGCAAACAGG